UCACACACAAAUGUUAGAGAUCUGUACUGGAUGACACUGACAGAAAACAAGCAUUUCAGCACCUACAAUUACAGUGUCAGGAGGAUAAGAGAUUCCUUCCGAGAAAAUAAAAAUGUAAACGUUCCUGUAGAAACUCAAACCCUAGAGAAUAAAGCCAAAAGAGACCUUACAGUAAUUCAGAGUAAUUUGUCAACAGGUCCACAUUGGCCAACUGACAAGUUCAUUACUGAGAAUCAAGAGAUGCCUAGGACC
rnacentral:lncRNA from 1 species